GGGAACGUAGCUCAGUUGGCAGAGCAGAGGAUAUAACGCCGUCGCCGUACACUUGCCUCGGUAAUUGCGGGGCCGCUGGUUGAUGGUUAUCGCCAGCCUUAGGUCGCAGGUUCGAGCCCUGCCGUUCCCACCA
rnacentral:tRNA from 1 species